UCAGCAGUCCAAAAUAUUAGUCAAUGCUCGAAAGAGUGAACUAGCUAACUGAAUCAUAAUAAAAAUUGAUAACAUAAGGGAAAAUAAUGAUAUUACCUUAUUAUUAGUGUCGUCCAAAACUGGUGCCAGAAGACUCGGUAAGGCCAGAGACACAAACGUUAAUCGUCUUAAUCAGGCGUAAAGGGUUUGUAGGCGGCUUUAAAAUUUAUUUAUAAAAAAACAAAAAUAAUAAAUAAAGAAUAAAAGCUAGAAUCAAAUAGAGGAUAUAUUAAAUAAUGCUUAGAGUAGGUCUGAUAUCCUUAGAUACUAAGUAGAAUAUUAAAGGCGAAAGCUUUUUUCCAUUAAUGAUUGACGCUCAGAAACGAAGGUGAGGAUAGGAAAUAGGAUUAGAUACCCAAAUACCCCUCUCUGUCAACGAUGAAUGGUAGUUAUUAGUAAAAAUUUUAUUAAUGGCAAUGUUAACACGAUAACCAUUCCGCCUUGUGAGUACAACUGCAAAGUUGAAAACAAAAAAAUUAGUCGGUUUCGGAGCAAACGAAGUGAAGCAUGUUAUUUAAUUCGAUAAAUCCGCA
rnacentral:rRNA from 1 species